UUUCCCUCACGUUGAUCGUUAAUUAAAACGGCGAACGUGCCGGCCUGGGGGAGCGGGAGAGGAGAGGGGGACGGCCCGGCGUCCCCCCCGCCUGCGGCGUCCCCGCGGGCCGGGGCCGCGCCGCCAGGGCCCCCGCCGAGGGCGGCCGGAGGGCGGCGCGGGGCAGGGAGUACUCACUCGAUGAAGUAGCUGGCGCCCUCCUCCGAGAAGCCCUCCUCCCAUCCGCGGGGCAGGCAUCAUCAGAAGAAAGUCAGAGGCAAGAAGAGCAGCAGCAAUGGGAAGAGAGGACUUUGCUCUUUUUUGCAGGAGUUUCAGACAACAUGCAGGGCAAUCCUGUAUCACAUCUCAAAAGUACUUUUCAGAGGAUAAAUAAACAACGUUCAGUAGCAAUAGCACUCCCUUUGCAAAUGGCUUUUCUUCAUUUCUAAAAAAAUUAUAGCUGUCUUUCUGACAUGGUCCAAAUCUCUAUGUCCUGUGAGUUCAAGCACUUCUAUCACUAUCCCUAACAUCAAGCAGAGUGUGCUGGAACACCGAGAGAGUCAAGCUUUUUCAGCCCAUCUCUACCACCUUGGCGCCCUGUUGAACUCAGUUGGUGUUCCUUGCAUGGCCAUAUUUCUCCUUGGAAGAUCAUCUUUCCAAAAUAUAGAUUUCUGAAAGUGUACCAUAUACAAAGGACUUCUAUCUGCAGAAGAUGCAAACAAGAUGAUCUCAUGUUUCCACGUGCUAGCUGCUUGAUGAUGUGAUUCUCUUGCCCAUUGUUGCAAUACCAUUGCAUCUAUUAAAGAUGCUGUACGGCUUUUUAACUAGUUAAAUGUCCAUUUGAAACAAUGUGAUUUCCAAAAUGGUAAUUUUCUUAAACACUACAUUUUUUCAUGCUUUGUACACUGUGAUAGUUGCAUUAUCGGUAAUGAUAAAAACUGAUGUAUCACUAGUGAUGGUGAAGAAUAGUUCCAGUAAUUUUAGAGGAAAUCCAGGACUUUGUAAGACCAGGUUUUAGUAUGAAAGAGAAACAUCAGGCACAAUAAAGAUUGUGGAAUUAAGCAGUCCUUCUUCCUAUGUUCACUAGCUGUUGCCCAAACACCUUAUUUCUACAUCUUGCUGUGCGUGAUAAAUGAGAAGUCAGGAAAGGCAAAACCUUGGCUUUUAACGUCUCGCACCCUACUGCCCAUUAGUUCAUCUCUCCCACACCUGUAAAUGGUGGCUAUUUCUACAGUGGCUCUUAACGUUCCUCAUACAUGGCUUCUACUGGGAAUAUCUUGGGACACAAGAGAGGGUACAGUUUCUGUUAUAUGCAUCAAUGCCGAUGUACCAACAAAAAAUAAAGCUGUCAGUUGUUCAUGGCAGCCUCAUGGGCAAAGGAUACAAAUGAUUGUUAUGUUCUUUUUAUUAAAUAGCCAACUAUGAAGUUAAAUGUCAUUUUUCCUCAUUAGCCAGGCACAGUAACUAGUAUGAUUAAAAUAUAAUCUAAUAACCAGUCAGUGUCGAGACUGCAUUCUGAUGGGAAGGAAAAAAUAAAAAUAAAAAAUACUGCUGAGGAGAAACAUGACUGGAAUUCAAUAUUAUACCAAUUUCCCUAGCAGUACUGUGUGUGCAGAUAAUAUUUAUAGAAACUAGCAUCUAGCAGAAAGAGGCGUGAAGUUAAAAUGUGUUGUAGCCUAAGAUUACAUUUUAUUAAUUCCUGUUUGCAAGAAGGUCAUGUCUGAUGAUUUCUUCUUAGAGUUACUGGUUUUUGCAAUUGGACCAUUCAAGAUUUUGAUUCUUGUUCUGCUUGUGAAGUUACUCAGAGUCUUGCAAAUGCAAGCGCCAAUUCCCCAAUCUUCCAGUGUUCUUUUUGAGUUUUUGCCCCAGUGGGGCUCUCUUUUUCUCAAGGGGAAACAGCUGCACAACCAGCAUCAGGAAUUGUAAUUAAUUUUGCAUCAGUCCAGAAUAAAAGCCAUACAUCCCGGUAACCAGUAUACCCCAGCAUUCCCUUUUUACCUGGGUUAAAUUACUGCAACAGCCCAAUACUGUUCUCAAUUGCAUCAUUGCUGCUUUACCACAGCUGUGCCAAAUGUAAAAUUCCUUGUCAAUACUCAAUGUUGAAUCACACUGUAAAUGCAUAUUAAAGCAUGUAUGACAUUUUACAGAAAAUCACGUAUUCAGAGUAUUGUAGACGAGUGAGAUGUGAAUUAAAAAAUAAUCACCACUGUCACUUUAAUUCCUUGGGGGUGGGAACGUUCUGACCACUGUCGACAAAGUGUAUUAAAAUCUCAUCUUUUAAAAUAUUUUGGAAGCAUGCAAAAACUCUAUGGAGAACACCAGAGUGGUUUGAUGGAUAGGCAGAGACACAAAGACAUGCAACCAAUUUUUCUGCU